rnacentral:rRNA from 1 species
UUGGUUGUUAAUUCAGCUUUUUUUGCGUUAUCUAUUAUCUUUUGGUAAGUUUAAAUGCUAAGCACAGGUGGUGCAUGGCUGUCGUCAGCUCGUGUUUUGAGACGUAGGGUUAACUCCUUUUAACGGGCGUAAUUCCUGCUUAUAAUUUUUGUUAUAGGUACCGCUUUUGAAAGAUUAGAGGAAGGAGGGAAGGACGUCAAGUCGUUAUGCCCUUAAUGAGCUGGGCUACACACGUGCUACAAAGGCAACUACAAGUUGAAGCGUAGUAGUGAUAUUUAGCAAUUCGUUAUAAAAAAGUUGUCGUAGUUCAGAUUGUACUUUGAAAAUUAGGUACAUGAAGGAGGAAUCGCUANUAAUCGUGUAUCAUCACGGCACGGUGAAUCUUU